UUUCAGCUUGAGUCUGCCAUCUCAGCCAUACCCCCUUCCUUGCGAGCCGCUGGACGACACGCAACAGUUUGGUGCCCAAACAGGGACCUGAAGAAUGGCAGAAGGACACUGAGAGAACACUGUCCAUGUGGAACUCCACGGGAAAAGCAAAUGGUCUUCAUAUCGGGCACUGGAGCAACAAAUAGGUGUUUUGUCUGUAGAUAUGUUUGUGUAUCCC
rnacentral:lncRNA from 1 species